CCUACGGGGGGCUGCAGUGGGGAAUAUUGCACAAUGGGCGCAAGCCUGAUGCAGCCAUGCCGCGUGUGUGAAGAAGGCCUUCGGGUUGUAAAGCACUUUCAGCGGGGAGGAAGGCGGUGAGGUUAAUAACCUCAUCGAUUGACGUUACCCGCAGAAGAAGCACCGGCUAACUCCGUGCCAGCAGCCGCGGUAAUACGGAGGGUGCAAGCGUGAAUCGGAAUUACUGGGCGUAAAGCGCACGCAGGCGGUCUGUCAAGUCGGAUGUGAAAUCCCCGGGCUCAACCUGGGAACUGCAUUCGAAACUGGCAGGCUAGAGUCUUGUAGAGGGGGGUAGAAUUCCAGGUGUAGCGGUGAAAUGCGUAGAGAUCUGGAGGAAUACCGGUGGCGAAGGCGGCCCCCUGGACAAAGACAGACGCUCAGGUGCGAAAGCGUGGGGAGCAAACAGGAUUAGAUACCCUAGUAGUC
rnacentral:rRNA from 1 species